GCAGGCUGCAACUCGCCUGUAUGAAGUCGGAAUUGCUAGUAAUCGUGGAUCAGCAUGCCACGGUGAAUACGUUCCCGGGCCUUGCACACACCGCCCGUCACACCAUGAGAGCCGGGAACACCCGAAGUCCGUAGUCUAACCUAUAUGGAGGACGCGGCCGAAGGUGGGUUUGGUAAUUGGGGUGAAGUCGUAACAAGGUAUC
rnacentral:rRNA from 1 species